rnacentral:rRNA from 1 species
GACGAACGCUGGCGGCGUGCCUAAUACAUGCAAGUCGAGCGCUGAAGGUCGGCACUUGUACCAACUGGAUGAGCAGCGAACGGGUGAGUAACGCGUGGGGAAUCUGCCUUUGAGCGGGGGACAACAUUUGGAAACGAAUGCUAAUACCGCAUAAAAACUUUAAACACAAGUUUUAAGUUUGAAAGAUGCCAUUGCAUCAUUCAAAGAUGAUCCCGCGUUGUAUUAGCUAGUUGGUGAGGUAAAGGCUCACCAAGGCGAUGAUACAUAGGCGAUCUGAGAGGGUGGUCGGCCAGAUUGGGAACGAGACACGGCCCAAAAUCCCUCAGGGGGCAGCAGUAGGGAAUCUUCGGCAAUGGGCGGAAGUCUGACCGAGGAACGCCGCGUGAGUGAAGAAAGUUUUCGGGUCGGAAAACUCUGUUGGUAGAGAAGAAAGUUGGUGAGAGUGGAAAGAUCAUCAAGUGACGGUAACUACCCAGAAAGGGACGGCUAACUACGUG